GUAUAGCUCAGUCAGUAGAGCAAGAGACUCCUAAUCACAGGGUCAUGGGUUCGAGUCCCAUGUUGGGCAACA